GGGUAUCUCUGCAGCUAAAGAAUGGACUACAACAAUUAAUUAAUUUAUUGUGUAAAUUGAUGCAAACCUAGUAUGACAAUGUUAUACAUGUAUACACGGGAAAAAAUUAAAGAAAAAAAUAUUUGGAAGAUUUAUAACGUUGACGACCGCUGAAACGCACGUCAUCACGUCAGGCCAGACAGUGCACGCUGCUGUGAGGGGAAGUUAAAACAGCUCGAGAAGGUUGGCGCUUCACCGGUUUGUCAGUGAAAAAACUAAUCGAUCUUGUUGCGUGUUUUCUCACAGUUCACCACAGACAAAUGUGCUUCGCACUAUUUUGUGUCGACUGACUGACCGACCAUCCUUCACAUUGACCAUCGUUUACGCGGAUAAACUCAGGAAACAGUUCACCACAUACAAAUAUGCUUCGCGCUAUUUUCCAGUGGAGACUGACUGACCGUUCUUUACAUUGACCGCCGUUAACGUUGCAAAACUAAGGAAGCAGCAGUGUUGGAUAAAGUCUUUGGCUCUCUGAAAGUCAUCAAGAUGAAUGCUGCCAGAACCAUCCAACACAAAAGCAAUCUCUGUCCCAGGGUCUACAACAUACAGGAUUUGGUACAAACAAAAGACAUUAUUACCCACCAAUUGGACUACUUUAAUGAUGAUGUAUGUGUUUCAACAAGUUGGAUACUACAGUAUAUGGACAUAAAGUAAUUCAGCUGAAGAUGUUCAACAAAUAGCAGCAUGGACAUUCUGCCAAACAUCUUCUGUAACCUCUAAUGUGUGAUAAAACCAAUUUUUACAGUCUAUGAAUAAAACUCGUACCUGCAUUUCCAGUUAUGCUUAGUUCCAUGUGAGAAAGGAUGUCGUCUAAGGCAGCGUAACUGGAUACAUUAAAAAACUUAUCAGCA